AGCGAACGCUGGCGGCAGGCCUAACACAUGCAAGUCGAACGAACCCUUCGGUGUUAGUGGCGGACGGGUGAGUAACACGUUGGAACGUGCCUUUUGGUUCGGAAUAACUCAGGGAAACUUGUUCUAAUACCGACUUUGCCCUUCGGGGGAAAGAUUUAUCGCCAUUAGAGCGGCCCGCGGCUGAUUAGCUAGUUGGUGAGGUAACGGCUCACCAAGACGACGAUCAGUAGCUGUUCUGAGAGGAUGAGCAGCAACACUGGGACUGAGACACGGCCCAGACUCCGACGGGAGGCAGCAGGGGGGAAUCUGGCGCAAUGGAAGAAAGCAUGACGCAGCCAUGCCGCGUGAAAGAAGAAGGACGGAGGAUUGUAAAAUUCUUUCACAGGAGAAGAUAAUGACGGUACCCGGAGAAGAAGCCCCGGCUAACUUCGU
rnacentral:rRNA from 1 species